ACGCUGGCGGCGUGCCUAACACAUGCAAGUCGAACGAAGCAUUUAAGUGAAUCCCUUCGGGGUGAAGCUUUUAUGACUUAGUGGCGGACGGGUGAGUAACGCGUGAGUAACCUGCCUUUCAGAGGGGGAUAACGUUUGGAAACGAACGCUAAUACCGCAUAACAUAUAUUGUGGGCAUCCACGAUAUAUCAAAGGAGCAAUCCGCUGGGAAAGAUGGGCUCGCGGCCGAUUAGCUAGAUGGUGAGGUAACGGCCCACCAUGGCGACGAUCGGUAGCCGGACUGAGAGGUUGAACGGCCACAUUGGGACUGAGACACGGCCCAGACUCCUACGGGAGGCAGCAGUGGGGGAUAUUGCACAAUGGGGGAAACCCUGAUGCAGCGACGCCGCGUGAGGGAAGAAGGUUUUUCGGAUUGUAAACCUCUGUCUUCAGGGACGAUAAUGACGGUACCUGAGGAGGAAGCCACGGCUAACUACGUG
rnacentral:rRNA from 1 species